rnacentral:rRNA from 1 species
AUAUAAUAAGUUUAUUAACUUGCUUGACUAGGUCUUAUAAAAUUCUGGAUAAAGCUUAUUAUGAAAACUUUAUAUCCAUAGGUCUCGACCAAAUCUUGUGCCAGCAGUCGCGGUAAGACAAGGGAGACGAGUGUUAUUCAUCUUUAACAGGUAUAUAGGGUACCUAGACGGUGUACAAAGGCUUAGAUAAGUACCUGUUACACUUGAGUUUGAUAUGUGAGAGGAAUAUGUCAGAAUUAUUGGUGGAAAGAUGAAAUUUGCUAAUACUAAUAGGACUGAUAACGGCGAAGGCAAACCUCUAUGUACAUGUAUUUUUAUUAGUGUUAGCGUGUUAUAUCGUUAACAAUAAUAAGCGAAAAAUACUAUAACUGACGUUGAGGGACGAAGGCUCAGAGAGUGAAGAGGAUUAGAUACCCCCGUAGCCUGGGCAGACAAUGAUGAGUGCCAUAGAUUGGCUUUAUGUUGAACUAUAAAUGAAAGUGGAAGCACUCCACCUCAAGAGUAAUGUGGCAACGCAGGAACUGAAAUCAUUAGACCGUUUCUGAAACCAGUAGUGAAGUAUGUUAUUUAAUUCGAUGAUCCUCGAAUAACCUUACCACAAUUUGAAUGACCUACAAGAUAGAAUACACCUUUGGACCGCGUUCCAAAGAGAUGAGAUAUUUGUAGACCACAUGCGUUGCAUGGCUGUCUUCAGUUAAUGUCGUGAGAUUUGGUUAGGUCCAUUAAAUUAACGUAAACCCUUGCUUUAUUUACUAGUAUAAAGCAGUUCUCCGCUUACAAUUGGAUGUGAUAAUAG